rnacentral:rRNA from 1 species
AGUGAACGCUGGCGGUAGGCCUAGCACAUGCAAGUCGAACGGCAGCACAGUAAGAGCUUGCUCUUACGGGUGGCGAGUGGCGGACGGGUGAGGAAUACAUCGGAAUCUACUUUUUCGUGGGGGAUAACGUAGGGAAACUUACGCUAAUACCGCAUACGACCUACGGGUGAAAGCAGGGGAUCUUCGGACCUUGCGCGAUUGAAUGAGCCGAUGUCGGAUUAGCUAGUUGGCGGGGUAAAGGCCCACCAAGGCGACGAUCCGUAGCUGGUCUGAGAGGAGGAACAGCUACACUGGAACUGAGACACGGUCCAGACUCCUACGGGAGGCAGCAGUGGGGAAUAUUGGACAAUGGGCGCAAGCCUGAUCCAGCCAUACCGCGUGGGUGAAGAAGGCCUUCGGGUUGUAAAGCCCUUUUGUUGGGAAAGAAAAGCAGCAGGUUAAUACCCCGCUGUUCUGACGGUACCCAAAGAAUAAGCACCGGCUAACUUCGUG